UACAGAGGUCUUAAGCGUUGUUCGGAUUCAUUGGGCGUAAAGGGUGCGUAGGCGGCGCGGUAAGUCGGGUGUGAAAUCUCGGGGCUUAACUCCGAAACUGCAUUCGAUACUGCCGUGCUUGAGGACUGGAGAGGAGACUGGAAUUUACGGUGUAGCGGUGAAAUGCGUAGAUAUCGUAAGGAAGACCAGUGGCGAAGGCGGGUCUCUGGACAGUUCCUGACGCUGAGACGCGAAAGCGUGGGGAGCAAACAGG
rnacentral:rRNA from 1 species